AGUUAAGUGUAGACAGGGAAGAGUACGAAUACACUCUGCUUCAAAGAGAGGGAAGCCCAUUGGCUGAAAGGCAUCCCAGGCAGACAGUCGGAAGGUCGCCCUCGAGCUUCUUCGGUGAACGGAAUGCCCAUUAGCCGAGGACGGAGAAAAUCCGUUAUCCUGUUUAAGAGCCAGCCUCUCAUUUCCUGCGGCUGGAAAAAAGGUGGUACCGCGAAUCGCACUCCAUUCGUCCUUUUA
rnacentral:ncRNA from 1 species